UUUUUUUUUGCUUUCAACUCCAAGAUGGAAAUUGUUAGGCUUCGACCAAAAUUGGGGUUUUCAAUCUUGUCUCUUGCAUCUCUAGUGAUUUCUUAGGUGAUAUGGAUUAUCUCAGCUUUGCACUUAACUGGUCCCUUCUUUUUGUGCUUGCAGUUGGGUAUUGCAUAGCAGUGAAUUAUUCUUUUUAUGGAGGGGAUUUGUUUGGCC
rnacentral:lncRNA from 1 species